rnacentral:misc_RNA from 1 species
UGUCCAGGGCGUCAAUAAUAAAGAGAAAG